UACGUAGGGUGCAAGCGUUAAUCGGAAUUACUGGGCGUAAAGCGUGCGCAGGCGGUUCGUCGUGUCUGAUGUGAAAGCCCCGGGCUCAACCUGGGAACUGCAUUUGUGACUGCAUGGCUAGAGUACGGCAGAGGGGGAUGGAAUUCCGCGUGUAGCAGUGAAAUGCGUAGAUAUGCGGAGGAACACCGAUGGCGAAGGCAAUCCCCUGGGCCUGUACUGACGCUCAUGCACGAAAGCGUAGGGGAGC
rnacentral:rRNA from 1 species